rnacentral:rRNA from 1 species
UACGUAGGCAGCGAGCGUUGUUCGGAGUUACUGGGCGUAAAGGGUGUGUAGGCGGUCCUCUAAGUUUGGUGUGAAAUCUCCCGGCUCAACCGGGAGGGUGCGCCGAAAACUGGGGGGCUAGAGUGCGGGAUGGGUAAGUGGAAUUCCUGGUGUAGCGGUGAAAUGCGUAGAUAUCGGAAGGAACAUCAGUGGCGAAAGCGACUUCCUGGACCAAUACUGACGCUCAUGUGCGAAAGCGUGGGGAGCAAACAGG